rnacentral:rRNA from 1 species
UACGUAGGGUGCAAGCGUUAAUCGGAAUUACUGGGCGUAAAGCGUGCGCAGGCGGUUUCGUAAGUCUGUUGUGAAAUCCCCGGGCUUAACCUGGGAAUGGCGAUGGAGACUGCGAGGCUAGAGUUUGGCAGAGGGGGGUAGAAUUCCACGUGUAGCAGUGAAAUGCGUAGAGAUGUGGAGGAACACCGAUGGCGAAGGCAGCCCCCUGGGUCAAAACUGACGCUCAUGCACGAAAGCGUGGGGAGCAAACAGG